rnacentral:lncRNA from 1 species
AGAUAGACGAAAACCAACUACUUUCAUGUGUCUUCUACCUCUCUCUGCCCCCAGUACAAUUACGUACGAAGAACACUGCGGAUAGCGAGAUCUCGUGCAUCUUCUCAUCGUUGUUCGAAAUCAAGCGCCCAGAUCGUUGUUCCAUGGAGGAAUUGUGCAAUUUUGUAUAGAUUCCAAGAUGUCCAACCUUAGCUCUUAAGAUAAUACAAAAUUUGAAUUUGGAAUUGGUCCUGAUUUUCCCCCAUUUUCCCAAAAGACCUCCGCUGUUUAAAUCCCAUUCUAAUUUUUUGAUAGAGGCUGGGGGAAGUAUGGGAAAAGAUUUUCGGGUAGAGAGAUUUUUGGGAGGUAGGAAAAUUUGUAGAUAUAAAAUACAUAGAAUUUAAGUAAAACGGCAAGAACAUAUUGCAAAACACAUCAAAGAAAACGGUCCAGUUUCUGAGAAGGCUAGUUGUUGGUUUGACUUGUAAAUUUCCGCAAGGAUUUCUUGUUUGUGAUUUCACUUUAAUGGUGGAAGGAUUACAAGUGCUAGCUCGCUGUCUCUGUUUGUUGUAACGGAAAAGAGAGCCGCCAAGUCUCAAAUUCCUCUAUCGAGUCAAGCUGACCAGACGACGUACGAACCGAGAAGUUGAAGAUUUUUGCUUGGAAAGCCCAAUUUGUUUCCCUGAACUACGUAUUUUGUUAUUUUUGGGUCUAAGCCCUUUUUUCCUUUAUCAAUAUUGUAUUGUUAGAAUUUCAGAACCUGGGGAUAUGGGCUAAAGGCCCAAAACAAGUUUUAGCCUAUGUUUUAGCCUAUCAAUAUUGUUGUUUUUGAAUAUGUUUCUCUAUUUGAAGAUGUUCUAGCCUACUCUUUUGGGUAACUUUCUAAAAAUCCUUAAGCAUAAAUAUCAAGUUAACUAUCAAAAAGCGUCCAUAUACUCUCGAG